CUGGACCCAGCGGGCCUCCAGGGGCCCUCCAAAGCCAAAGUGUUCUAAUUUUGCUCCUUAAAAGACAGUUACUUAAAAUUUGGUUGGUUUCAACUUGGUUUAAAUGUUACUCUCUCAACGCAGCUUUCUCCAUACGCAGCCAGGUGUCGUUAAUUUGCAAAGUGUCUUUUUAAGUAACGAGAGGCUGUUUGUAUGACUGGACUAUGGUGAAAAUGGAAGUACAAUAAUUACAGAAAUAAAUGGAGGCAGAUAAGGCAUUCAUGGAUGCUGCUCUGAGAUAGCUCUUCUGGUCUGAUUGAUUCAACUGGUGUACGUAGAAUACAGGAACAGUCCUUGAGAACAGAAACAAGUGAAUGUCUGUGAAGUUGCUGCAAUUUAUUAAACAUGGCAAUGGGAGAACAUUUAAAAGUAGCCCCUAUAAGCAGGAGCUCAGAAAGUCUGCUACAAGUCAGUCAAACAAGAGGUUAUGAAACAGCAUAAAACACAUACAUGGCAGAAGAGGAGAUACUAAACAGUUUCCUUCACCAAAAUUGAUACAACAAAGUUUAAACAUCUCAGCACUGUGGAAAUCCCUUCAACCAAGAUAUUUCACCAGAACUUUUCAUAUUAAGCUAUAACUGGGUAACAAGGUACAACAGCCAAAAUUUUUAA